GAUCAUGGCUCAGGAUGAACGCUGGCGGCGUGCUUAACACAUGCAAGUCGAGCGAAGCACUUAGGAAAGAUUCUUCGGAUGAUUUCCUAUUUGACUGAGCGGCGGACGGGUGAGCAACGCGUGGGUAACCUGCCUCAUACAGGGGGAUAACAGUUAGAAAUGACUGCUAAUACCGCAUAAGACCACAGCACUGCAUGGUGCAGGGGUAAAAACUCCGGUGGU
rnacentral:rRNA from 1 species